rnacentral:lncRNA from 1 species
GAUACCACUUGUGGGGCAGGAAGAGAAACCCAAUGCCACUUAGGGGGCAAAGAGCAGCCCCCAGUGCCACUUAUGGGGCAGAGACGGAUCUCCAUCACCACUUAUGGGGCAGAGACUGACCCCCAUCGCCACUUAUGGGGCAGAGAGCGACCCCCACUUCCACUUAUGGGGCAGAGAGGACCCUCACUUCCACCUAUGGGGCAGAGAGCGACCCCCAUUGCCACUUAUGGGGCAGCCACGGACCUCCUCACCCCACUUCUGGGGCAGAGACUGCCGCCUCAUGCCACUUGUGGGGCAGCGAGCGCCCCCCAUCGCCACUUAUGGGGCAGGAACAGCCCCCCAAUGCCACUUAUGGGGCGCCGGGACCCCCCCCACACACCGCCCCCUCCCCCCAACUUAUGGGGCCGGAGACCCACGGAAGUCCCGCGUCGCUGG